rnacentral:rRNA from 1 species
CAGCUCAGUAACUCUUAUUUUAUUUGAUGUAUUAGGAUUAUAACUAUGUUAAAUUAUAGAUAACAAUAAUACAAUAAGAAUAAGAUCUAUCAGUUAGUUGUUAAGGUAAUGGCUUAACAAGACUAUGACGGAUAACGGUAUUACUUUGUAAUAUUCCGGAGAAGGAGCCUGAGAGAUUGCUACUAAGUCUAAGGAUUGCAGCAGGGGCGAAACUUGACCUAUGAUAUGAUAUUGAGGCAGUUAUGAGUAGUAUUUUUAAUUAUUGUAGUAUUGUAAGUAUAUACUACAAGAUAAAUCGGAGGGCAAAUCGAGUGCCAGCAGCCGCGGUAAUACUUGUUCCGAUAGUGUGUAUGAUGAUUGAUGCAGUUAAAAAGUCUGUAGUUUAUGAUUAAUAAGCAUUGUGAGGUAUAUUGUAUGGUUAGGAGAGAGAUGAAAUGUGAUAACCCUAACUGGAUGAACAGAAGCGAAAGCUAUAUACUU